rnacentral:rRNA from 1 species
GCUUACGACCACACCGGCCUGAGUACGCCUGAUCUCGUCUGAUCUCGGAAGCUAAGCAGGGUCGGGCCUGGUUAGUACUUGGAUCGGAGACUGCCUGGGAAUACCAGGUGCUGUAAGCU